rnacentral:rRNA from 1 species
UGGGGAAUAUUGGACAAUGGGCGAAAGCCUGAUCCAGCCAUGCCGCGUGUGUGAAGAAGGCCUUUUGGUUGUAAAGCACUUUAAGCGAGGAGGAGGCUACUAGUACUAAUACUACUGGAUAGUGGACGUUACUCGCAGAAUACGCACCGGCUAACUCUGUGCCAGCAGCCGCGGUAAUACAGAGGGUGCGAGCGUUAAUCGGAUUUACUGGGCGUAAAGCGUGCGUAGGCGGCUGAUUAAGUCGGAUGUGAAAUCCCUGAGCUUAACUUAGGAAUUGCAUUCGAUACUGGUCAGCUAGAGUAUGGGAGAGGAUGGUAGAAUUCCAGGUGUAGCGGUGAAAUGCGUAGAGAUCUGGAGGAAUACCGAUGGCGAAGGCAGCCAUCUGGCCUAAUACUGACGCUGAGGUACGAAAGCAUGGGGAGCAAACAGG